rnacentral:tRNA from 1 species
GCCUUUGUAGUGUAACGGUAGCACACUCGGUGCGUAUUCGAGAGAUCCAGGUUCGAGUCCCGGCGAGGUCA